rnacentral:rRNA from 1 species
UACGUAGGGACCAAGCGUUGUUCGGAUUUACUGGGCGUAAAGGGCGCGUAGGCGGCAAUUCAAGUCAUCUGUGGAAUCUCUGGGCUUAACCCAGAACGGCCAGGUGAUACUGCUUUGCUAGAGUGCGGAAGGGGCAAUCGGAAUUCUUGGUGUAGCGGUGAAAUGCGUAGAUAUCAAGAGGAACACCUGAGGUGAAGACGGGUUGCUGGGCCGACACUGACGCUGACAGCGCGAAAGCCAGGGGAGCAAACGGG